UCGGGAAUUUUGGGCAAUGGGCGAAAGCCUGAUCCAGCAAUGCCGCGUGAGUGAAGAAGGCCUUCGGGUUGUAAAGCACUUUUGGCAGGGAUGAAAAGCACUGGAUUAAUAACCCAGUGUGUUGACCUAACCUGCAGAAGAAGCACCGGCUAACUCUGUGCCAGCAGCCGCGGUAAUACAGGGGGUGCGAGCGUUAAUCGGAAUUACUGGGCGUAAAGGGCGCGUAGGCGGUCGAGUAAGUCGGAUGUGAAAUCCCCGGGCUUAACCUGGGAAUUGCAUUUGAAACUGGAAAACUAGAGUGUGUGAGAGGGGGGUAGAAUUCCAAGUGUAGCGGUGAAAUGCGUAGAGAUUUGGAGGAAUACCAGUGGCGAAGGCGGCCCCCUGGCACAACACUGACGCUCAGGUGCGAAAGCGUGGGGAGCAAACAGGAUUAGAUACCCUCGUAGUCCCUGAGCGGGCUGGCAAGGCGCAU
rnacentral:rRNA from 1 species